rnacentral:rRNA from 1 species
AACCUGGUUGAUCCUGCCAGUAGUGUAUGCUUUUCCUAAAGACUAAGCCAUGCAUGUCUUCGAAUAAGAGGAAGCAAUUCUCUCUGAAUCUGCGUACGGCUCCGCACACCAGUUGUAAACCAAAGCAAGCAAGCCCGGUCUCGACGCCUUUCGGGGCUAGAGGCCGGGCUACAAGGAUAACCCUGGUAAUUCUGAGGCUAAUACUUGACACAGAACCUGCCGACUGGGCUUCGGUUCGGGAAGCGGGGGAUGUGCGACUAUCGGGCCAACAAAACCGGAAAGAGCGCACGUUCAGACCACUUAAAAAGGCUUCGGGUCCCUCGGGAUCCGGGGUUGUGGCUCUUGCAGCGUGCUUCUGACCUAUCAACUAGACGGCAGCCUAAGGGACAUGCUUUGGUGACAACGGGUACAGAGGAUAAGGGUUCGAUCCUGGAGAGUGGGCCUGAGAGAUUGCUCAUACUUCUAAGGAAGGCAGCAGGCGCGCAACGUUCCCAUUGGACAUCGUCUGAGGGCGUUAGGGGAAAUAUUAAUACCUGCCCAAUGGGUGGGUAAUUAAAAUGGGUCUGUUCUAAACAGGCUCUCGAGUAACAAUUAGAGGACAAGUCUGGUGCCAGCACCCGCGGUAAUUCCAGCUCUAAUAGCAUACGUUAAAGUUGUUGCAGUUAAAACGCUCGUAGUCGGCUUCAGACCACUGGAUGCGGAUGGCGGAGACCUGGAAUGUGCCCCUCAAAGGGUGCGCCGGGCGACUGACAAAAGCGGAAGGUGGUCAAACGUGCCUGCAACGUGCCUGGCUCCGGCUGGGAUUUACAAGGCUUGUUCUGCCCUCAAAAGCGGUUCUUGCCCGGUUGCAGGUGCCAAUUACCAUGAAUAAACCAGAGUGCUCCAAGCAGGCCAAUCGGUCUUGCAUGGCACAGCAUGGUAUAAGACCAGCAGGGGCUAGCUUUUGCUCGGGUUAGCCCCCUGGACUAAGCAAAAGGGGUGUUCGAGGGUGACCGAAUUGCCGGGCGAGUGGUGAAAUACGUUGACCCUGGCAAGUCGACCUAUGGCGAAAGCUGUCAUCAAGGGCACGCCCGUUGAUCAAGAGCGAAAGUUAAGGGUUCGAAGACGAUCAGAUACCGUCGUAGUCUUAACUAUAAACGAUACUGACUAGGGAUAGGGCAAUGUCCAUUCCGACUCCCCCUGAACUUCGGAGAAAUUAAAGUCUUUGAGUUCCGGGGGGAGUAUGGUCGCAAGGCUGAAACUUAAAGGAAUUGACGGAAGGGCACACAAAGAGUGGAACCUGCGGCUUAAUUUGACUCAACACGGGAAAACUCACCAGGUCAGGAUACAUGUAUGAAAGACAAGCUGAUAGACUUUUCUCAAUAACGUAAGUGGUGGUGCAUGGCCGUUCUUAGUUCGUGGAGUGAUUCGUCUGGUCUAUUCCGAUAACGAGCGAGACAGCAGCGAACUAAAUAGGACCAGGUGCUUCAAGUUGGCCUCUUCGGGGGUCUUCUGCCGGCAGCUGGUCAAUUCAACUACUUAGUCGGAUUGGAGCCGAUAAGGCUUCUGAAAUGCGUCAAUAACAGGUCAGUCAUGCCCUUAGAUGUUCUGGGCCGCACGCGCGUUACAAUGGCAUAAAGAGCGAGUAUUCAUUACGAGUAUUUCCGCAGCCUUCGGGCUGUGGUAAUCAGUAAACUCCGCCUUGACUGGGAUAGACUAUUGUAAUUAUUGGUCUUGAACGAGGAAUUUUUAGUAGUCGUGCGUCAUCAGCGCGCGACGAAUGCGUCCCUGCCCUUUGUACACACCGCCCGUCGCUGCUACCGAUUGGGUUUUACGGUUACGUGUUCGGAGGCUAUGGGAACCGCUCUUCACGGGGCUGGGAACCACUGCCAAAGUUCCAAUU